rnacentral:sRNA from 1 species
CUAGGAGGAUGUCAGCCCAAGUACGUCGCAUCCAUGCGACAAUAGCUGACUGACCUGCGUCAUGCAGG